AGCGAACGCUGGCGGCAGGCUUAACACAUGCAAGUCGAGCGCCCCGCAAGGGGAGCGGCAGACGGGUGAGUAACACGUGGGAACGUACCCUUCAGUUCGGAACAACCCAGGGAAACUUGGGCUAAUACCGGAUACGUCCGUAAGGAGAAAGAUUUAUCGCUGAAGGAUCGGCCCGCGUCUGAUUAGCUAGUUGGUGAGGUAAUGGCUCACCAAGGCUACGAUCAGUAGCUGGUCUGAGAGGAUGAUCAGCCACAUUGGGACUGAGACACGGCCCAAACUCCUACGGGAGGCAGCAGUGGGGAAUAUUGGACAAUGGGGGCAACCCUGAUCCAGCCAUGCCGCGUGAGUGAUGAAGGCCCUAGGGUUGUAAAGCUCUUUUAGCGGGGAAGAUAAUGACGGUACCCGCAGAAAAAGCCCCGGCUAACCUCGUGCCAGCCGCCGCGGUAA
rnacentral:rRNA from 1 species